rnacentral:rRNA from 1 species
AGCAGCCGCGGUAAUUCCAGCUCCAAUAGCGUAUAUUAAAGUUGUUGCAGUUAAGAAGCUCGUAGUUGAAUUUCGGGGUCAGUAGGUCGGUCGUGCCACUGGUAUGAACUGGUUUUACUGAUUCCUCCCUCUUGAAGAACUGUAAUGCCAUUAAUUUGGUGUUGCAGGGAAUCAGGACUGUUACUUUGAAAAAAUUGAGUGUUUAAAGCAGGCUUUAGCUUGAAUACAUUAGCGUGGAAUAAUGAAAUAGGACGUUUGAUCCUAUUUUGUUGGUUUCUAGGAUUGACGUAAUGAUUAAUAGGGAUAGUUGGGGGCAUUAGUAUUCAAUUGUCAGAGGUGAAAUUCUUGGAUUUAUUGAAGACUAACUACUGCGAAAGCAUUUGCCAGGAUGUUUUCAUUAAUCAAGAACGAAAGUUAGGGAUCGAAGACGAUCAGAUACCGUCGUAGUCUUAACCAUAAACUAUGCCGACUAGGGAUCGGAUGAUGUUAAUUUUUAUGUACUUCAUUCGGCGUCCUUACG